rnacentral:rRNA from 1 species
UACAGAGGUCCCGAGCGUUGUUCGGAUUCACUGGGCGUAAAGGGUGCGUAGGUGGUGAGGUAAGUCGGAUGUGAAAUCUCCGGGCUCAACCCGGAAAUGGCAUUGGAAGCUACCUUGCUGGAGGAUUUGAGGGGGGAUUGGAAUACUUGGUGUAGCAGUGAAAUGCGUAGAUAUCAAGUGGAACACCAGUGGCGAAGGCGAAUCCCUGGAAAAUACCUGACACUGAGGCACGAAAGCUAGGGGAGCAAACAGG